rnacentral:tRNA from 1 species
GCCUCGUGGUGUAAUAACAUGUCAGAUUGCAAAUCUGGAGUAGCAGACGAAAGUCUGCCGGGGCUU